rnacentral:rRNA from 1 species
AGCAGCCGCGGUAAUUCCAGCUCCAAUAGCGUAUAUUAAAGUUGCUGCAGUUAAAAAGCUCGUAGUUGAAUUUCGGGAUCAAUAUGUUGGUCGUGCCUUGGUACGUACUAGCUUAUUGAUUUCUCCUUUCUGAUGAACCAUAAUGUCAUUAAUUUGGUGUCAUGGGGAAUCAGGACUGUUACUUUGAAAAAUUAGAGUGUUUAAAGCAGGCUCACGCUUGAAUACAUUAGCAUGGAAUAAUGAAAUAGGACGUUUGAUUCUAUUUUGUUGGUUUCUAGGAUCGACGUAAUGAUUAAUAGGGAUAGUUGGGGGCAUUAGUAUUCAAUUGUCAGAGGUGAAAUUCUUGGAUUUAUUGAAGACUAACUACUGCGAAAGCAUUUGCCAAGGAUGUUUUCAUUAAUCAAGAACGAAAGUUAGGGGAUCGAAGACGAUCAGAUACCGUCGUAGUCUUAACCAUAAACUAUGCCGACUAGGGAUCGGAUGAUGUUAAUUUUUAAUGACUC